CUUGGUCAUUAGAGGAAGUAAAAGUCGUAACAAGGUCUCCGUAGGUGAACCUGCGGAGGGAUCAUUACCGAGUUCAUGCCCUUACGGGUAGAUCUCCCACCCUAUGUUAUCUUACCUUUGUUGCUUUGGCGGGCCGACAGGCUUCGGUCAGUCUACCGGCUCCGGCUGGUAAGCGCCCGCCAGAGGACCCCAAACUCUGAAUUUUAGUGUCGUCUGAGUACUAUCUAAUAGUUAAAACUUUCAACAACGGAUCUCUUGGUUCUGGCAUCGAUGAAGAACGCAGCGAAAUGCGAUAAGUAAUGUGAAUUGCAGAAUUCAGUGAAUCAUCGAAUCUUUGAACGCACAUUACACCCUUGAGUAUUCUCAGGGGUAUGCCUGUUCGAGCGUCAUUGCAACCCUCAAGCACUGCUUGGUAUUGGAUGCCAUCAACUGUGGUGCAUCUCAAAAGUAUUAGUGGCAGCGUUCAGCUUCUAGUGUAGUAAUUUCUCGCUCUGGAGUUUUGAGCGCCUGUCUGCUAGAACCCCUAAUUUUUAAAAGGUUGACCUCGGAUCAGGUAGGGAUACCCGCUGAACUUAAGCAUAUCAAUAAGCGGAGGAA
rnacentral:sRNA from 1 species